UACGAAGGGGGCUAGCGUUGCUCGGAAUUACUGGGCGUAAAGCGCACGUAGGCGGCUUUCUAAGUCGGGGGUGAAAUCCUGGAGCUCAACUCCAGAACUGCCUUCGAUACUGGAGAGCUUGAGUCCGGGAGAGGUGAGUGGAAUUCCCAGUGUAGAGGUGAAAUUCGUAGAUAUUGGGAAGAACACCGGUGGCGAAGGCGGCUCACUGGCUCGUAACUGACGCUCAUGCACGACAGCGUGGGGAUCAAACAGG
rnacentral:rRNA from 1 species